CCCUUAGAUGUUCGGGGCCGCACGCGCGCUACACUGAUGCAUGCAACGAGUUUAUAACCUUGGCCUGAAAGGUCUGGGUAAUCUUUUGAACGUGCAUCGUGAUAGGGAUAGAUUAUUGCAAUUGUUAAUCUUGAACGAGGAAUUCCUAGUAAACGCGAGUCAUCAGCUCGCAUUGAUUACGUCCCUGCCCUUUGUACACACCGCCCGUCGCACCUACCGAUUGAAUGGUUCGGUGAAGAUCUCGGACUUCGAUAUUUAUUCUUUAUUGAGUUUAUAUUGUGGGAAGUUAUCUAAACCUCAUCAUUUAGAGGAAGGUGAAGUCGUAACA
rnacentral:rRNA from 1 species